rnacentral:misc_RNA from 1 species
UGCCUCUUUCCAUCACUGCCUGCGUGUCUGCCAAAUCGUUCGCCCCCCCCCCCUUUCUCCACAGUCGACAACAACAGCCAUCGCCUUCUAUCAUCCUCUUCUUUUUCUGGAAGCAUUUUUCUUGUCCCCUUUCCCACGCAUUCUCUCUUUCUCUCUCUGUUCCCCGCUGAUCAUAAUGACAUCUGCAACCCCCCGCGGCCAAAUUCUGGCCAACGCCCUCGAGGCGGUCGGCAACACCCCUUGCAUCCGCUUGAACCGCGUCCCACAGAAGCACGGCAUUCAGUGCGAGGUUGUGGCCAAGUGCGAGUUCUUCAACCCUGGCGGCAGCGUCAAGGACCGCAUUGGCAAGCAGAUGAUACUCGACGCCGAAAAGAACGGGACGCUCAAGCCGGGUUCCGUGAUUGUGGAGGCCACAAGCGGCAAUACUGGCAUCGGUCUCUCCAUGGCCGCGGCGAUCCGCGGCUACCACAUGGUGAUUACGAUGCCGAAGAAGAUGUCGCACGAGAAGGAGACGACACUGCAGUCCCUUGGCGCCGAGGUGAUCCGCACGGAGACGUCUCUUCCGCACGACCACCCGGACAGCCUCAUCGGGGUCGCUCGCCGCCUGCGCGAUGAGAAGGGCUACGUGCUGCUGGACCAGUACACGAACCCCAGCAACCCGGGUGCGCAUUACGAGUUCACUGGUCAGGAGAUCUACGACCAGUGCGGCGGCAAGGUCGACAUGGUAGUCAUCUGCGCCGGAACCGGAGGCACGAUCACCGGAGUGGCCAAGAAGCUGAAGGAGCUCAUCCCCGAAGUCAUCGUUGUCGGUGUAGACCCGGUCGGCAGCAUCAUCGCCGACCCCGAACACCCCGGCGAGCCUGUCAUGUACCACGUAGAGGGAAUCGGCUAUGACUUUGUGCCAGACGUGUGCGAGCGUAAGUACGUCGAUCGCUGGGUCAAGACACGCGAUCAGGAGAGUUUCGACCUCGCCCUCGAGCUGCACCGCGAGGAGGGUCUGCUGGUCGGCGGUAGCAGCGGCUCCGCGAUGGCCGGCGUGGUGGAGGCAGCCAAGGACCUUCGCUCGGAUCAGCGCUGCGUCGUGCUCAUGGCGGACGGCAUCCGCAACUACAUGGGGAAGUUCGCCGAUGUCAACUGGAUGAUCGAGCACGGCUUCCGGCAGGGUGAGGUGACCCGCCCCACCUACGACACGCUGAAGAAGGAGCUGGAGGAGGUCAAGGCGAAGCUAGCAAAGUACGAAAGCGGCGCUCAGUAGAGAGGCGGCGCGGCAGCAAGAGAGAGUGAGUGAGUGCGAAGGAAUGAGGAGGAGGCAGAAUGGAUGGGGGCCUGGGCUAAUCGAGGGGACCACCGCGUGUCUGCGUGCGAGGUACCCCCUCCCUCUCCACACAUCAAAAGAAGAGAAUGCUGUCAUGUUGCAGCAGCUCUCCAGAUUAAACCCUCCCUCUCUCCUUCUCUCUCCCGUGCCUCUACGCCAUGCUCUGCCCGACGUUGCUCUUCUACCCCCACCCCGCAUCAUACAUCCUUCUCUGUUUUUCCUUAACGUUUCCGCGACAGCUCCCUCCUUCGUUCGUCUAAUCCGCAGCAGCACCUCCACCGUUGCGAGCCACUGCUGUGUCUCGUGUGGACUUACACAUGUCACUGCGUCUUCAUCCGUCCCCGUU